CUUAUACGUACUCAGAAAUACUGUAAACAUCAUAAAAUCAGAGCUUAGGCUGUUAUUUGUCUUCAGCACUUUUUUAGUAUGGCUGGUGUAGUUGAAGCGGCAGAAUGCCAACUUGGGACCUCUUUGACAUCCAGAGCCUGGACUGGAGAACUUGCAGCCAUGACUUAGGGCAGAUGUGGUGGAGUUGCAUUCUUCACAUGGAGCUGAAUUCUGCCAUCAACUGCGCGAAGUUGGAGAGGACUCUAAGCUCCGGAAGGAAAUGCAGCCUUGCUGACAUCUUGUUUGAAGAGAAGAUCUAGGUCACCAGUGUCUCAGAAGAGGAGUUUGUGCCCAGUAAAGCUCCAUAGCUUUUGGAGCUGCUGCCCAGAGGCCACAUCCCUUCAGGAUGCAGUGCAGAAUGAGUAUUCAGACAUCUUCAUCUCCCAGUCUUCCCCUGAAAGAGGUUGGUAAAUUUCUUUGGAAAUGAUCCCAUU